GCGUUCUGGACCUGACGAAGAGGGUGAUGCGCCUUCUCCUGCACCCCCUCCCCCUCCCGGUUGGCCCUCGCGACUUCUCCAUUCCCUUUGCCUGAAGACGAAAAAACUGCCCAACAUUUGGACGACACGUGCUUCGCCUCACCCCCCCUUUUCGGUUGGACCCCUCAUCCCUGUUGCAUAUUUUUACUGUAUUCAUCACACAUUUUUUUC